GGUGAGGUAACGGCUCACCAAGCCAUCGAUGGUUAGGGGUUCUGAGAGGAAGGUCCCCCACACUGGUACUGAGACACGGACCAGACUCCUACGGGAGGCAGCAGUGAGGAAUAUUGGUCAAUGGGCGAGAGCCUGAACCAGCCAAGUCGCGUGAAGGAUGACUGCCCUAUGGGUUGUAAACUUCUUUUACAGGGGAAUAAAAUGAGAUACGUGUAUUUUAUUGCAUGUACCUUGUGAAUAAGCAUCGGCUAACUCCGUGCCAGCAGCCGCGGUAAUACGGAGGAUGCGAGCGUUAUCCGGAUUUAUUGGGUUUAAAGGGUGCGUAGGUGGGCUGUUAAGUCCGCGGUGAAAGUUUGUCGCUUAACGAUAAAAUUGCCGUUGAAACUGGUAGUCUUGAGUAUAGAUGAAGUAGGCGGAAUGCGUGGUGUAGCGGUGAAAUGCAUAGAGAUCACGCAGAACUCCGAUUGCGAAGGCAGCUUACUAAGGUAU
rnacentral:rRNA from 1 species